UGGUUGUGUGAAGCAACUUAUUGUCAAACUGAAAUGUUUGUUGGUCUACCUGACCAUAGUUUGGUUCCAACAGAAUCCCUCAUUUUCUACUUCUUAAUUAAGAGUUUGAACACUGCUAAUUGGCAUUCUCAGCACCUUGGUUAUUUCUUUAUAUCCCUUUCCUGUUUUAUACAGUUCAAUUACCUUUCCUUUGACAAUUCUUUUGCUUUCCCUGUGACUCAGAAACCAGAAACGUCAGUGCAGCACUGGAUGAAAGAUGCAAGGGUCUGUCAGGAACCCAGAAACUCACUGACCUUUUAUAUACACACUGAUUACAAGGAAACAGAUUACAGGUUUAGCAGCCAUUCAAAGCUGUUUGUGUCAACUUCUGUGCUUGUUAUCAGGCCAAAAUAACCAGGGUAUGUAAACUUUAGGUCAGGGACAUUUGGUUUGUUUCUGUUGUAAUUUUGAUUUAAAAAGAGAAACCACAGUUGUUUGACAAUAAAUGGCAGCAACCAUGAGUGAGACAAACAUUUUUGCGUUAUCAUUCAUAUUCUCUGGAAAAUGGCCAAAAACAUAAAAAAAAUUCUGCCAGGGUAUGUAAACCUUUUGAGCAAAACUGUAUUUAUAUAUAACUGCAAAUAGUGAAUUGUGACCAAUAUUGCACUCAGCCCCGUUUAGCAGUGUUGCAUUAGGUGUGUGAAGUUUUGUUCAUCAGUCUGAUAGCUUCAGGAAAGAAGCUCGACAUACAGAUGGGAUGUUCUGGCCUUGACUCUGCACAGCCCUCUCCCUGAAGGCAGAAGGACAAACAGUCCAUGGGCGAGGUGAGUGGGGUCCUUCAUAAUACUGGAGGCCCUGCUCCUGCAGCAGCUGAUGUAAAUGUCACUGAUGAAAGGAAGGUUACACCCGAUGAUCCUCUGUGCAGGUUUCACCACGCGCUGCAGAGCCUUCCUGUCCACUGCAGAGCAGUGCAUACCACGCAGUGAUGGACUGGGUCAGGACAGGCCACACAUGUAGAAGGAGACCAAAGCAGGGGAGACAAGUCCAGCAUAUUUCAGCUUCCUCAGAAAGUAGAGGCAUUGGUAGGCAUUUUAUAGGAAGUUGGCUAUAUUGUUGGACCAGGUGAGGUUGUCAGUGAUGUGCAGACCCAGGUAUAGCUGUGCGUUACUCCUCCUAAAGUCCACAAUCACUUCCAUCGUCUUCAUCAAAUUUAUGCAGAGAUUGUUGGCUCUGCACCACACCUCCAGAUGUUGAACCUCCUGUCGGCAAAUGCCUCAUCAUUGUGGGAGACUAGUCCCACCACAGCCAUCUCAGGGGUUCUCAGGACACAUCCCUGAGGGCAGCCGGUGUUCAGGAUGGGGGAUGAAGAUGAGUGUUCAUGGUUCGUCACGGACUGCGGCCUGUUGGCCAGAAAGUCCAGGACCCAGUUGCGCAGUGAUGGUCUAAGCCCUAGUAGUACCAGCUUGUUAAUAAGGGUCUGUGGGAUGAUCAUAUUAAAGGCUGAACUGAAGUCCAGGAAGAGAAACCUGGCACGUGUCCCUGCUCUCCAGGGGGCUGAGGGCCUGGUGGACAACUGCCGACAUUGCUUCAGAUGUGCACCUGUACUCUCUGAGGCAAGAAGACAAACCCAAACCUGUCGUGAGGAUCAAGUUAACAGCCUGCUGUAUAAGAAAUGAAAAGUUUAAUCUGUUUGUUUGAGACGUUUCUGAUUCCCUUGCUUUUGCUACGUCAAUCACAACAGUGGCCUGUUUUUUAUUUUAUUUUAUUUUAAGCAUUUGUUGUUUGUUAUAAUUAUCAUGCUCAGGUUUUUGAUGCAAAUAAAUUGUUUACUCAUAAACUACAAAUGAAGACGGACGCCGUGUGGGUAUUGUACACCACCAAAGUUAGCUGUAUCAAAAAAUCCAGUUCUACUAACACCUCACUCUAGUACUAUUGACCCCCCACCCCAAAAAAAUAAAAAUAAGACAUCAUUUAUAAGUAGUUGUUAGACAGAUGUGGAUACCAGAAAGACAUUCAGUGGCAUUACCAGUUAAGCAGUUAGUGAUCAAGAAUACUGUCAAACACAGCUAUGGCCUUAUCGCAACAACUCCAUGAAAAUCAUCUAGAAACAUUAUUGUAGACAUGGAUAUUAGUACAUGCAUGUAUCUAAUUAAUAACUUGGAUGUAUCUACUUGAGCCCUGCGACAGACUGGUGUCCUGUCUAGGGUAUACCCCGCCUCAGGCUCUAUGACUACUGGGAUAGGCUCCAGUCCCCCGUGACCUUUGUAGAAAAUGGAUGUACUUGAAAUUUUUUAUUUGACAGCAACCAAACCAACUACUUGGGGCUCAAAAAUUAUUGUGGUUUUAUUUCUCUUGAGCUAUUCUAAUGAAGAUUUUAUUAUUUAUAUAUAUUUCAGAAUUCCUCAUGCAUUGUUUUGUAGUGCAUAAGUCUGACAUAUUGUUCUUUUUUAACCUCCACGGCUUAAUCAGUCUGAUUCCAAAGCACUCUUUGUUUUUGCUGUUUGCACAUUGAGAUCUGCAAAUGUUGUUCCUCCUUGCCAGGCUAAUGAUUGACAAUGAAAAUCACAAUACUGAGUGCAACAACUUUUCUCUACUUUUGCACAAAGUGUUAAAUAGCAGUAGUGGCUUUAUUAUGGAACAGAUGGAUGGAUAGAUGAAGACUAUUUACAAUUUUAUAUACAUUAUCAGGAUAUCC